UAAUAUCCCUCGCUUUUAAAAAUUAUUAAUAAAGAUUUAUAUGUAAAUUGGAGGACCUAUAUGUAAAUAUAGAAAUUACAAGGACUAAACUGCUAAGUUGCAAAAAAGAAAAAAAAAGGGAAAACCGAAAAUUCGGUAUUAUCCCACCGCCUCCCACGCACUCUGUUUCUUCCAGAAACAGAGAGAGCGGUGGGGCGUGAGGACAAGAAGGAGAGUGGUAGAAGAAGAGGAGGUGGCUGCAGCGAGAAGCUGUGGGGCGUGGGGAGAAGAAGAGAGGAAGAAGAGGGAGAAGAGAAGAAGAAGAAGAAGAAGAAGAGAAGAGGAUAGCUGCGGCAAGGCUGCAGCGAGGAGGUGUGUGGGGUUGGGGAGGAAAAGGGAAGAGGAGAAGAAGAGGGAAAAGAGAGGGAAGAGGGAGAGGAGCAAGAGGUGGCAGCAGCUAGGGCUGCAGCACCUCUGUUUCCUGCAGGUGGAAACAGAGGAGAGGUGUGGGGCGUUCGAAGAGGAGAAGAAGAAGAAGAGGAAGAGAAGAGGAAGAGGAAGCAGGGGAAGAGGUUGUGAUACCUCUGUUUCCUGU
rnacentral:lncRNA from 1 species